GACGAACGCUGGCGGCGCGCUUAACACAUGCAAGUCGAACGGAAAGGCCUGCUUUCCCUUGUGGAUUGCGGGUACUCGAGUGGCGAAUGGGUGAGUAACACGUGAGUGAUCUGCCCCCAACUUGGGUAUAAGCCUGGGAAACUGGGUCUAAUUCCCGAUAGGACUGCAGGGUGGUGCCUGUGGUGGAAAACGAUUUUCUAGUGGUUGGGGAUGAGCUCGCGGCCUAUCAGCUUGUUGGUGGGGUAAUGGCCUACCAAGGCGGCGACGGGUAGCCGGCCUGAGAGGGUGGACGGCCACAUUGGGACUGAGAUACGGCCCAGACUCCUACGGGAGGCAGCAGUGGGGAAUAUUGCACAAUGGGCGGAAGCCUGAUGCAGCGACGCAGCGUGGGGGAUGACGGCCUUCGGGUUGUAAACUCCUUUCGACCGCGAGGAAGCCACCUGGUUGGAAGGGUGGUGACGGUAGUGGUAGAAGAAGCACCGGCUAACUACGUG
rnacentral:rRNA from 1 species